rnacentral:rRNA from 1 species
GAUGAACGCUGGCGGCGUGCCUAAUACAUGCAAGUCGAGCGAACAGACGAGGAGCUUGCUCCUCUGACGUUAGCGGCGGACGGGUGAGUAACACGUGGAUAACCUACCUAUAAGACUGGGAUAACUUCGGGAAACCGGAGCUAAUACCGGAUAAUAUAUUGAACCGCAUGGUUCAAUAGUGAAAGACGGUUUUGCUGUCACUUAUAGAUGGAUCCGCGCCGCAUUAGCUAGUUGGUAAGGUAACGGCUUACCAAGGCAACGAUGCGUAGCCGACCUGAGAGGGUGAUCGGCCACACUGGAACUGAGACACGGUCCAGACUCCUACGGGAGGCAGCAGUAGGGAAUCUUCCGCAAUGGGCGAAAGCCUGACGGAGCAACGCCGCGUGAGUGAUGAAGGUCUUCGGAUCGUAAAACUCUGUUAUUAGGGAAGAACAAAUGUGUAAGUAACGAUGCACGUCUUGACGGUACCUAAUCAGAAAACCACGGCUAACUACGU